ACAGCACUGGAAGACACGAGAUUCUGCCCUGGACCUGAAAUGGCCACCAGGCUCUUCUUCUGUGUGGUCCUUUGUCUCCUGUGGGCAGGACACAUGGAUGCCGGAAUCACCCAGAGCCCAAGAUACAAGGUCACAGGGACAGGAAAGGAAGUGACUCUGAGAUGUCUCCAGACUGAGAACCAUAACUACAUGUACUGGUAUCGACAAGACCCGGGCCAUGGGCUGAGGCUGAUCUAUUACUCAGCCACUAAAGGGAGCACCGACAAAGGAGAUGUCCCCGACGGGUACAGUGUCUCCAGAUCAAAGAUAGAGAACUUCCCCCUCACGCUGGAGUCGGCUACCCCCUACCAGACAUCUGUGUACUUCUGUGCCAGCAGUGACUCCACAGCGCUGCACCGCCACCUCCUCUCUGCACAAAAAGGCAGGGGGAGACUCCACACCCCAGACUCAGCAGAGCCUGUGCAGCCUCAACUCCCACCCUGGGAGCCUUGGAGCCCCGAGUGGCCUGUGCAUACAGGGUGA